rnacentral:lncRNA from 1 species
AGAAAGUAGUGAGAUAACUGACUUCGGUUCCGACUGGGGUUGGUUGAGACUCGAUACUACACUCUUUGAGAUUGGACUUUAGGGAAGCUUCGGUCAACCACUUGGCGUUGCACUGAAGUGGACUUAAAGAAAGGUCGAUGAUCUGAGAUCCUUCUAGAACCCGGUUACUAUUCUAGGACAGGUUGAACCAACCAAACUUCAGUGGGGAGGGUACUUACCUACGGAACUCAUGCAAGCCUUUAAACCUAGGAAUGAUUGUUGUGUGACUUGCUUGUUACUUAUUCAACAUCACAACAUCAUAACAUCAUCAUAACAUCAUGGCAUUAAACUAACCAUUUC